GUGGACCGGCGCCGUGCCUCCAGAUCUGCAUCGGAAUGCAGAAAAGAUCUUUUUUUUUUUAAGUUUUGAAUUCCUCAAUGAUUUUUCUUCUGGAAAGGCAGCUUAGGAUAAUUAUUUCAGCUUUAUUGAGGGCAGAUUAGUUGAAGUCUGAGCACUGCGUUUCAAUACACGUUGUACACGGGCCGACAAUGUGG
rnacentral:lncRNA from 1 species